rnacentral:lncRNA from 1 species
AGGAAUUGAAACACCUUAUUCUCAUCAUCCUCCUUUAUGAUGCCAGGUUUGGCAGCACAAAUACAUCUUUGGCCAUGAUUUGUGCAUACUGCUCCUAACUCAUCCCAUAACCCUUUGAGUUUGUUAAAAUAGGAUGCUAUAUCUAGAGGUCCUUGAGAAGAAUGAGAAAGUUCUCUUUUAAGUUCAAAACUUUUGGUCCUAUUGGCUGUGCCAUAUCUGGCUUCGAG